AACAAACCCCGUCCAUUAUCUCCUCCACUAUCUUCUCAACCCUCUUUUAAACAACCAGCCUCCUUUUCUUUUCUUAGACCAGAUUGAAGACGUCGGAGACAACUGAUAGAAGACGUCGGAGACUAGUCCCAGAUUGCUUUCAAUCCCUCACAAGAUGCACCUCCGCGUGGGAAAGUACUGAUUCGUCCAGCUUGGGUGCAGGAAGACAAGGACACCAGGUCAUGGCCCGGAUCAAAUCUUACUUAGAUACUACUUCUCUCAUCCUUGUUGUGGGCUGGCUGCUUGGGCACGUCCACCUUGAUGGAGCCGGAUGAAGUGCAUAGGAUGUCUCUAUUGCAGCUAGCUAAGAAGCAACUUUUUGAACCAGAUACUAAUCUGCUGUACAAUCCUGUGAUAAGGGAACAACAGACACCCCAAGGAAAUCCUGAAUAUUCUAGGCGAGGGUGGACAUCAGGCCGCUCUUUCAUGGCUCAAUGCUAUUAUCCUGCCGCUCCUCAUCCUAGAGUCGAUACAGCUGUCACCCUGGGGACUCACAUGAUAUCCAAAGGAUUAGGUUGGGAAUUCCACGAGGUUGAAUAUUCAGUAGCUCCCCCUGGGUACGUUGAAUGGGGAACUAAUGUUUUGAAGAAUUAUUCCAUGCAUUUGAAAGGUAGUGAAGAGAACACAGACUAUAUCUAUGGAGCCAUUUAUUGCUCUUUGGGUGAGUACUCUGUAUCUCCCCCGCUUCCGAGGGCUUUGUUAGAGCACUGGGAUCCCAACACUAACACGUUCUUAUUCCCCUGUGGUGAACGCACAAUCACUCUUCUUGAUAUGAACCAAAUGGCUGGGCUACCCUUAGAUGGUGAUCUGUAUGAUGAAUUUAUAUCCCCUACUCAUGAACUGGAUCCUU